rnacentral:rRNA from 1 species
UACGUAGGGGGCAAGCGUUGUCCGGAAUCAUUGGGCGUAAAGAGCGUGUAGGCGGCCUCGUAAGUCUGCUGUGAAAGUCAAGGGCUCAACCCUUGGAUGCCGGUGGAUACUGCAGGGCUAGAGUCCGGAAGAGGCGAAUGGAAUUCCUGGUGUAGCGGGUGAAAUGCGCAGAUAUCAGGAGGAACACCGAUGGCGAAGGCAGCUCGCUGGGACGGUACUGACGCUGAGGCGCGAAGGUCAGGGGAGCAAACGGG